rnacentral:rRNA from 1 species
GAUGGUUGGACAGAAAUAGUCUGUCUUAAUUAAAGAUAUUGAAUUUAACUUUUGAGUGAAAAGGCUUAAAUGAUCUGAAGGGAAGAUAAGACCCUAUAAAACUUUAUAUUUAAAAGUGGGAGUUAGUUUUAUUUAAAGGUUGCUAUUUUAUAAUAUUUGGUUGGGGCGACAGGGAUAAAAAAGUAACUGUCCUUUUUUUUUACAAUAAUAUUUGGUUUAAUGAUCCUAAAAUCGAUGGAAGAUUAAGUUACUUUAGGGAUAACAGCGUUAUUUUCUUUAAGAGUUCUUAUCGACAGGAAAGUUUGCGACCUCGAUGUUGAAUUAUAAGUUCUUUAUGGGGUAGAGGCUAUAAUAGAAGGUCUGUUCG